AAAUGAAUAGACGGGGGCCCGCACAAGCGGUGGAGCAUGUGGUUCAAUUCGACGCAACGCGAAGAACCUUACCUGGGCUCGAAAUGCUGUGGAUCAUCCUUGGAAACAGGGACUUCCCGCAAGGGACUGCAGUAUAGGUGCUGCAUGGCUGUCGUCAGCUCGUGUCGUGAGAUGUUGGGUUAAGUCCCGCAACGAGCGCAACCCUCGUCCUGUGUUGCUAACCGAAAGGUGCACUCUCAGGAGACUGCCGGCGAUAAGCUGGAGGAAGGUGGGGAUGACGUCAAGUCAUCAUGGCCUUUAUGUCCAGGGCUACACACGUGCUACAAUGGACGGUACAAACCGCUGCAAACCCGCGAGGGGGAGCUAAUCGGAGAAAACCGUUCUCAGUUCGGAUCGCAGGCUGCAACUCGCCUGCGUGAAGCUGGAAUCGCUAGUAAUGGCGUAUCAGAAUGACGCCGUGAAUACGUUCCCGGGCCUUGUACACACCGCCCGU
rnacentral:rRNA from 1 species